GAGGUCCCAAGUUCUCCUCAGCCCUCUAUUCCCCCAAUUCCUGACAUUCCCUAGGACCCUGUGAUGCCCUUGAUUUUGCUUGUAGAUUUGGGAGGAUGGUUCUGAGACGUUGCUGUAUCAGGGAAAGAACCCCAUGUUGACCAUUCUUUCAUUGACUCCAGAUAAUUCUGGUUCCUACCGCUGUGAACUGGGUUCGGUGAGCUCUGGCCCAUCCACGAUCAUUCAUUAUCUCGUCACAGUUUUGCCCCCAAAUGCUACAGAGGAGUCACCAACAACAAGCAUCCUCUUUGGGAGUGAGACAGAGUCAGGGACACAAGGUGCAAAUGUCACUGGUGAGACCAGUCCAGCCGUCCCUGGUGGGACAGGCCCAGCUUCCCCAACGGUCCAGGGUGAGACGGGCCCAGGGGUUCAGGGUGAGACAGCCCCACUCCAGGGUGAGACGGGCCCAACAGAACAGGGUGAGAUGGGCCCAAACCAGGAAGAUACGGGCUCAACAGAACAGGGUGAGACUGCCCCACUCCAGAAUGGUAUGGGGUCACUGGCCCAAGGUGAGACGGCCCCUCAAGUCCAGGGUGAGACGGCCCCACUCCAGGGUGAGAUGACAUCUCCAGACCUGGGUGAGACGGCUCCAGUUGAGGCUGAGACAGCUCCACUUGAGGCUGAGACAGCCCCACUUCAGGGUGAGACGACCCAGCCGGCCCAGGGUGAGACGACCCAGUCGGCCCAGGGUGAGACGACCCAGCCGGCCGAGAGUGAGACGACCCAGCUGGCCCAGGGUGAGACGACCCAGCUGGCCCAGGGUGAGACGACCGAGCCAUUCCAGGUGGAGACUGCCCCACUGCAGGGUGAGAUGGCUCCAGGUGAAGGUGAGAUGGCCUCCCAGUUCCAGGGUGAGACAAACCAGGUUGAAACAGCACCACUGGAGGAGGAGACAGCCCCGCCAUUCCAGGGAGAGACUGCCCCACUGCAGGGUGAGAUGGCUCCAGGUGAAGGUGAGUCGGCCUCCGAGGUCCAGGGUGAGGCAGCUCCACCAAACCAGGAUGAAAUGGCACCAUUCGAAGAGGAGACAGAACUAGGUGAUUUUGAAAUGGGCCAACCACUCCAGAAUGAGAUGGCCCCAGGACAGGGUGAGAUGACUCCCUCAGAACAGGUGGAGACUGCCCCACUGCAGGGUGAGAUGACUCCCCCAGGCCAGGGUGAAACUGCCCAGUUCCAAGGUGAGAUGGCCACACCAGUCCAGGGUGAGACAUCUGCAGCUCAGGGUGAGACUACCUCACCAAUCCAGGCCGGGAUGGCCCAACUCCAGAAUGGGGCAGCCCUAGUCCAAGAUGAGACAGCCCCAUUCCUGGGAGAGACGGCCGCACUUGUAGGUGACAUGGCUCCACUUGAGGAGACCUCAGUACGCCCGAAUCCAGGAGAAUUGGAGUCUUCGACCACGAACCAACAGCCUGAGCAGGCCAAGGGUGUGCAGCAAGGCCAAAACCUUGGGCUGAUCAUCGCUUUACCUCUACUCCUGAUACUAGGCCUUAUUCUUUGCCUGCUUUACUGGCGAAAAUCGAAAGAGAAACAAUCUUCAUAGCUCAGCCUUUGAAAAUUCAGCUUCCUAACCGUCAAAGACAAGGGCUUCAAAAGAGAAAAAUAAUUAAAUACGUGUCUUGUGGUCUAAGUAUUUGACUCAAUCCUCUUGACUGAAUAAUACCUUAGGUUCCCC
ensembl:lincRNA